rnacentral:rRNA from 1 species
GAUGAACGCUGGCGGCGUGCCUAAUACAUGCAAGUCGAGCGAACAGAUGAGGAGCUUGCUCCUCUGACGUUAGCGGCGGACGGGUGAGUAACACGUGGAUAACCUACCUAUAAGACUGGGAUAACUUCGGGAAACCGGAGCUAAUACCGGAUAAUAUAUUGAACCGCAUGGUUCAAUAGUGAAAGACGGUUUUGCUGUCACUUAUAGCUGGAUCCGCGCCGCAUUAGCUAGUUGGUAAGGUAACGGGUUACCAAGGCAACGAUGCGUAGCCGACCGGAGAGGGGGAUAGGCCACACUGGAACUGAGACACGGUCCAGACGCCUACGGGAGGCAGCAGUAGGGAAUCUUCCGCAAUGGGCGAAAGCCUGACGGAGCAACGCCGCGUGAGUGAUGAAGGUCUUCGGAUCGUAAAACUCUGUUAUUAGGGAAGAACAAAUGUGUAAGUAACUAUGCACGUCUUGACGGUACCUAAUCAGAAAGCCACGGCUAACUACGUG